rnacentral:rRNA from 1 species
UACGGGGGGGGGCAAGCGUUGUUCGGAAUUACUGGGCGUAAAGGGCUCGUAGGCGGCCAACUAAGUCAGACGUGAAAUCCCUCGGCUUAACCGGGGAACUGCGUCUGAUACUGGAUGGCUUGAGUUUGGGAGAGGGAUGCGGAAUUCCAGGUGUAGCGGUGAAAUGCGUAGAUAUCUGGAGGAACACCGGUGGCGAAGGCGGCGAUCCUGGACCAACACUGACGCUGAGUGAGCGAAAGCCAGGGGAGCAAACGGG